UACGUAGGGUGCGAGCGUUGUCCGGAAUUAUUGGGCGUAAAGAGCUCGUAGGCGGUCUGUCGCGUCGAUCGUGAAAACUCGGGGCUCAACCCCGAGCCUGCUUUCGAUACGGGCGGACUAGAGGUAGGUAGGGGAGAACGGAAUUCCUGGUGUAGCGGUGGAAUGCGCAGAUAUCAGGAGGAACACCGGUGGCGAAGGCGGUUCUCUGGGCCUUACCUGACGCUGAGGAGCGAAAGCGUGGGGAGCGAACAGG
rnacentral:rRNA from 1 species